AUGCGAUCCCCAACACCAGCGUGCUACGCUGCCUGCUGUAAAACCAUCGACUUCACAUUGCCAAGACAGGACAGUUUAAAAAAAGAAACAUAACCCUGUGAACAGCAGCAAAGAAAACAUCAGCAGGAGGGGAAGGGCAAUCAAACAAAGGUGAACCAAGAUUUGGAUUUUUCCAUUGUGACAGUUUCACUUGAGCCUUACAACUUGAGGCCAUAAAUUGCAAAGAUCUAGGACGUGUGGUGCAGCACCAGACAUGUGGCAGGUGGUUUUGAGUACAGCUGUUGGAAUCACAGAAUAGACUGAGUUGGAAGGGAGACACAAGGAUCACCCAGACCAAUUCCUAUUCCAUCAUUCAGUACUGAAGCUGGAGGCCCUUGGGACAGAAUUCUGCCUAGACCUCGCAGAAUCCAGGGAUUGCAUCUAGAUCAUUAGAGAGCAAAUGGUUUCCAACGGAUUGAAGUCAAAGGUGUUUCGAUGCUUCCAUGGAUGGUAUUACAGAGAAUGCUGAGCUGAGAAUGGACUUGGAUGGCUGAGGCCAAACACUGCAGGAUUUAUCAAAACCUUGGGAAUGUUUGGACGUUUAAAUGAAUGGAAACAACCACAGGCGGAACCUCAGGUACCCCCACGUCCAGGACGUCACCGGUUUUCCCAGUCAGCCUCCACAAGACGAAAUCUGGUACCGACAUCUCUCCAAGCCGAGGGUGAUUCAGCUGCAGAGGUGCCAGCAGUGCGGGACCGAACCGGGCACGGCACUGCCGCCCUGGCAGCGGAUGCGGUGGCGGA